rnacentral:rRNA from 1 species
GAGUUUGAUCCUGGCUCAGGAUGAACGCUGGCGGCGUGCCUAAUACAUGCAAGUCGAACGCACUAGUUUACUAGUGAGUGGCGAACGGGUGAGUAACACGUAGGUAACCUGCCCUUAAGACGAGGAUAACCAUUGGAAACGAUGGCUAAGACUGGAUAGGAAUAUUUGAGGCAUCUUAAAUAUUUUAAAAGACCUAGCAAUAGGUAUGCUUAAGGAGGGGCCUGCGGCGCAUUAGUUAGUUGGUGAGGUGAGAGCUCACCAAGACGAUGAUGCGUAGCCGGACUGAGAGGUUGAACGGCCACAUUGGGACUGAGAGACGGCCCAAACUCCUACGGGAGGCAGCAGUAGGGAAUUUUCGGCAAUGGAGGAAACUCUGACCGAGCAACGCCGCGUGAAUGACGAAGUACUUCGGUAUGUAAAGUUCUUUUAUCAAGGAAGAAUGACUCGUGGAAAAACGAGAGUGACGGUACUUGAUGAAUAAGCCCCGGCUAACUAUGUGCCAGCAGCCGCGGUA